UAGCAAUACCUUGAUGGCGACCGGCGCACGGGUGAGUAACACGUAUCCAACCUGCCGAUAACUCGGGGAUAGCCUUUCGAAAGAAAGAUUAAUAUCCGAUAGUAUAUUAAAACCGCAUGGUUUUACUAUUAAAGAAUUUCGGUUAUCGAUGGGGAUGCGUUCCAUUAGUUUGUUGGCGGGGUAACGGCCCACCAAGACUACGAUGGAUAGGGGUUCUGAGAGGAAGGUCCCCCACAUUGGAACUGAGACACGGUCCAA
rnacentral:rRNA from 1 species